GAAUAUGAAGCAAUACAUGCAAUUAGUUUCGACCUAAUUUAAUGAUAUUAAUUUAUCCUUAUUCU
rnacentral:tRNA from 1 species